rnacentral:rRNA from 1 species
GACGAACGCUGGCGGCGUGCCUAAUACAUGCAAGUUGAGCGCUGAAGGUUGGUACUUGUCCCAACUGGCUGAGCAGCGAACGGGUGAGUAACGCGUGGGGAAUCUGCCUUUGAGCGGGGGACGACAUUUGGAAACGAAUGCUAAUACCGCAUAAAAACUUUAAACACAAGUUUUAAGUUUGAAAGAUGCAAUUGCAUCACUCAAAGAUGAUCCCGCGUUGUAUUAGCUAGUUGGUGAGGUAAAGGCUCACCAAGGCGAUGAUACAUAGCCGACCUGAGAGGGUGAUCGGCCACAUUGGGACUGAGACACGGCCCAAACUCCUACGGGAGGCAGCAGUAGGGAAUCUUCGGCAAUGGACGAAAGUCUGACCGAGCAACGCCGCGUGAGUGAAGAAGGUUGUCGGAUCGUAAAACUCUGUUGGUAGAGAAGAACGUUGGUGAGAGUGGAAAGCUCAUCAAGUGACGGUAACUACCCAGAAAGGGACGGCUAACUACGUG